rnacentral:lncRNA from 1 species
CCUCCAUUAAGCUUCUUCAUCCUUCCGUUUUCUCUACAAAGUUCUCAUCUUCUCCACGUAAACCUUCUUAAGCUCACUGAUUUGUUUCUUCCAUCCCGACAAACCCAUGUGAAGUCAUCUCCAUUUCAUCCACUUUCAUUUGUUUACUCUUCCCUUUAUCCACGUAACACCACUUCUUCCAUCCAUCCCAUUAAAAUAAUCUACUCAUCCCAUCUCAAAGGAGACUUCCAUCAUAUUCUUCUUUGUUUAUUCAUCUCCUCUUGGUUUCUUCCACCACAAUGUUCUUCUUCCACCCACCAUCAUUCCAUCUUUCAUUAUAAAAUUUUCCUUCACUAUUCACUCUAUUAAAUAUUCAUCCCAUCUUUCGUUCCAUAGAUUCCUCCAAAAAAAGUCUCAAAUCUCUAUCAUUUGAGUCGUAACCCAUGUGAGAUUU